UCUGGUACGGAAGAUCCACAAGUCUUUAAGCUAUUGCUUUGUGGCCUGUUUUGAAUUUUGUGCUAUUCAGGUGUCUCACUUCAGCUAGAGGGGAAGAGAGGCAAAACCCUUCCACUCAAGUCACUGCUGGUGAAAGCUCUGAGAAGCACCUGCCACCUGGACCAUGACCCAUGCCUCAGUGAGGAACUGUGCCUUCAUCAAUAGUUACUUCUGACCUCAAGAUGCAAUUUUUCC